CUCUGUGUGAUGCAGACAGGUAGGGGACCGAGGGUGGCACUGGGGGAGGAGGUGUGAGAGCAGAGCACUGUUCCGUUCAGGGUCUCUGCUCCAGGAGCAACUUCACUGUCUGCAGGGACAGCAGAGAGGGCAGGAGACCCAAGCCACAACAUCCAGGGAAUCCAAUGUCAGUGGCAGGUGCCAAGGAAGGCAUGGUUGGAAACCAAGCCAGGCCUGUCACACACACAGAGGGCUGAGAAGGUUGAUCCCAGCAAGGUUCUGUGCUCUGGAGCUGCUCAGCUGGGAACCUGCAGGACAAGAGGGGAACGGGCCCAAAUUCUGCCAAGCCCAGCCCUGGCCAAGCAGACCCAGAGCCAGUGACAGGAGCCAGAGCUGGGUCAUGUGAGCCUGUGCUGCAUGGGCUGAGGGCCAGGGACUGGGGACACCUGGGCUGGGAGGGAAUUUGGACUGGCUCCUGGAGCCAGACUGAGAGUGGAGGUGCUCCUGGCCAUUCUGUCACCUCCUGGGCUGCAUGGGAAUGUCCCAGUGCAGCUACUGGAGUGAGUGAGGGUUCCCAGUGCCAUAGCUGAGAGAAGUGGAGAGGACCCAGUGCAGCAAGGAGGGGCGGCCUCAGGCCUGGGCUGGGGUAUCAGGAGGGUGCAGGGUCCCUCACCUGCUGCCUUCACCUGUGCCAGCUGUCCCAACUCCCUCUCCAGUACAGCCAGAAGUUCUCUGCAGUUUUCCCUGUCUCUGCCAGGACCCUCAAACAAAGUCUCCCUCAGUGGUAUUGACUGGCACCUCCUUCCUUGCAGGCCCUGCUUUAGGGAGGAGCACAAACAGAUUAAAGGUCUUUUCCAACCUAAACAAUCCUUGGAUGCGGUGCCUUCCAGUGACACUGGGAUGCAGCACCUCUCCCAGGCUGCACCAGGUGUGACUAAGGGUGAGGUGACCCUGUGGAACACCCCAGAACAUUUCAAUGUAAGGGGCUAAACUGAGGUUCCUUUCCUACACUUGGCACACAGAAGAAAUACUAAGUAGAUAUUCUUAAGAGGUCAAAAUUGCACAGAAUUUGGUGGCAAAAGAUAGAAAAUCAAUGAAUUUGAUCAAUCUUUUCCAAUCUGUGACACCCUGCCUGGGUCCUGAGGAGAUCGGAUGGUGUUGGGGUAUGACUGGGAAACAGAGCAGGAACUCUCCAGUGGGGUCUCUCUGCUGCACACACUGGAAGGACGGGGUUGGCAAAGGAUGGGGACAUGGCUGGGGUGCCUGGCUGGGAGGAGCUAGGACGGGGAUGGAAGGGUAGGUGGGGACGUCUGAGAAGAGCAAUUUUGAUCUUAAUUUCCCUUCCUCCCCUUGUUCUCCCUCCCUCCCUCCCCAGAGAAGCUGUUGCUGCCCUAUCCCUGGCAGUGUCCAAGGCCAGGCUGGACAGGACUUGGAGCACCCUGGGACACUGGAAGGUGUCCCUGCCCAUGGCAGGAGGUGGCACUGGAUGGGCUUUAGGGUCUCUUGCCAUAUGGAAUCCAUGAGGACUAAGGGAGAUGAGCAUAGUACAGGGAUACCUUUUAUCUCUUUCUGGUACUUAAAGGAAAACCAAGAAAGACUUAGCAGGGCUGGAGUGCCAGGACACAGGGAAUUGCUCCACGCUGACCCAGGCCAGGCCUGGAUGUGUAUUUGGGAUCUCUUUUCCCACUUUUCUGGCUCCUCUUACGUGUGGAGCCCUCCGGGCCGUCAGGUGUUGCCAUCAUGGUGGGGCAGAGUGCAGUGAUGUCACUGCCACGCCGGGUGAGCCAAAGCAGUGGUGGCAGCACCGGGAGCAGUGGGAAUGGCCCCAGGAACAGUGGGAACAGUGGGAACAGCGGCACCGGGAGCGCCGGUAGCACUGUGAACGGCAGCAGCGGCAACAGCAGGAGCGCCAGCAUGGAGUACGUGAACCCAGAGCAGCUCGCCGGCUUCAGCAAGUACAAGGAUUUUUCCCUCCUGAGAAGCUGAGAGGCCUCAAGAACAAACUGUAAACAAUUCUUAUCUGCUGCUGUGGAACGCACCAGACCAGGGUGAGCCCCUGGGUCCCUGGAGAGAGAAAGCUGGACCCUGAAUGUGUGCAUGUCUGGGACCUGAUCAUCUCACCGCAUGGCUGAAUUAAAUGUCUGUGGAUACUGUGUGAAGGUCCAUUUUGCUUCCUUACCCUGGACUAUGCUAGCAGCAAUUCAGCCUGCUACAAAUGGCGCUCGAACAGGGACCUCUUCUCCUGGAAAACAUCUGCGCUAGACCACCCUGAGAAUUUCAUUGUCUUACCCUAGAGUGGUGAGUUUGAAUUUUUAGUUCCUUUCUCCUUUUACUCUCAGCUGUUGGGAAGAGACUGGGUUAAGAUGGAAACAAUGCUCACCCACACAGAACAAGAAGUUUACCUCCACCUUAAAAAGCCUUUUCUUCAAGAAGAUUUUGGGUUUCCAAAGGGGAAAUUGAAGCCUUUUGUACACUGGUUAUUUAAGCAUUUUCCUUAUAUUUCAUGGAAUGUAGUCCUAACCAAGGACAUUCUGGAAGUAGUUUGGGAAAAAUUAAGACCUGAGGAAGAACUCCAUAAAGAAUUCAUCCUUUUUUUAAUAUGAUGAUGAUAUGCAUUCAGAAUCUUGAGGAACAGUUAAAAAAUAGUGAACCCCAGCUGAAAACCUUCUCCAAGCUCUCCUGUCUUUACUCCUACUGCCCAGGUUUGCUGUCAUUACAUGGCCAUGGCCAUAUGGUCACAUUCACAUGCUCAAGAUGGUGGAGACAGCAUGGCAUGAGCCACGGGCUCUCCCCUUCUACCCUCUGGUCCCCACGCCUCCUCCCACAGCUUCCACAGUCCUAAGAGUGAGAGAAGGGGAUUCAGAGGAGCAGCCUCUGAUUAGCAAUAUAAAGCUGCAUCACCUUCUUACAGCAAAGGGGAAAGAAACCCCUCGAGCACUUGCAGUGCUGGAAAGGACAAAAGAAUGGAAGUAUUUACCUUGGUUGCUAUAGCACCACAGGACACAGCAUGGGUGGCAAGAGCCAUCCCCACUCGCAUCAAACAGCUGCCUCCAUGGAAAACCCACGGGUGAGCACAAGUAGUGGCAGCCCACAGCACUGGAGGUGAGGACAGGCAGGCAAGACCAGUGGGCGGGCAGUCCUGCUGGGGGAUGGCUCAGAAUUGCAGUCCUGGCAGCGAAACCACUGUCCCCCACCCACCUGCAGGGCCUGCGCCACCACCACUGCUCUCAAAGCCCCGCGCUGGCAGUGCCUGCGGGCCUCAGCUGAGAGAGACCCCCGAGAAAAAUCCAGGUCUCAGUGCAGCUGACAGUGCCAGGAGCAGGACGAACCCUGCACAGCAGCACACCAACCUCAACACCAACAGCACGUCCAGCAACACAAACACAAAACCACUGGCAAAGGUAAAAAAGUCCUUGCUGUGAACGUUCUGGGGACAGUGAAAUGGUUCAAUGUAAAAAACAAAUAUGGCUUCAUAAUCCAGAAUGAUAUCAAAGAAGAUGUGUUUGUUCAUCAGACUGCUAUAAAAAAAAAUAAGCCCAGGAAAUACCUCCACAGACUAGGAGAUGGAGAAAUUGAGAAAUUUUAAUACAAUACAACAAAAAAAAGGCCCCCAAACAGCCGAUGUGACAGGACCCUGGUGGAGUUCCAGUGCAAGGUAAUAAACGUACCAAACUGCAAACCUGCAAAAUAUUACCCACAUCAUAGAAGUCCUCCAAGGAAAUAAAACCCAAAACCAACAACCAAGCCCCAGCAACAGCCUAAAAGCUGAAAGAGCACAGAACACCAAUGAGCUGUCCUUCAUCCAAGAGUCCACCUCCAUAAUGAAAGAACCUUCCAAUCUGAUAAGUCCCACUUCUAAUAUCCUUCCCCAAUUCCUGUGGCCUCUCUGCCCCCCCCUCCCACUUUCUCCUUUGCCUUUCCAUUGUCCUAUUACCCCUUUUUUAUGUUCUCACAAAUUCCUACCACUUUUUCCUCUUUCCAUGGCCUCCCUCUACUAAUCCCUUCCCUCUGAGUUCCUUCAUAAUACCAGAAGGAUGGUGACUGGGAGGGAAAAAAGGAAAGUUUCCCUAAAGUAACCAUCUUUUUCUUGAAGUUAAUGAUUUCUAUUUGGAGUUUCCAGCAGACACAUCACCACUUACACUACCUUGUAGAGAGCCCAUUAUAGCCAAAGGCAUUGCCACAAGUGGCAGAUAACCAGUCCCUGCUAGAGCAACUUCUCCUGACUCAGUUUCCUGAUAAACUGUGCUAAGAAAACCCCUCAUCCCUCCUGCCAGCUCUAAGACACUCCAGGAAAUCUGUUGAGGCAUUGGGAACUCAGAAUUGUUUGCAUUUUGAAAAACUAUUUUAUGGGUGUUUGUCCUAGGGUGAUGUUAGGAUGCUGUUAUCCCCAUUCGUGUGUGUGUGUGUAAUUUAUGCUGGAUAUUAUGUUCUGUGCCUUUAAGACUGGCAGAGUGAAAGUUUUGGGUUGGGCCUCUUAUCAGCCACUCGGCAAGACAUACAGAUAGCACCAGUACUUAGUGUUGCUUUUUUGCUUUUUGCCCUGCUUGUGGCUUUCGCUCUUGCUUCUGCUUCACUUCUGCUUUGCUUGCUCUUGCUUUUCCCCCCCUUCUCAUUAGUUAAUUUAGCUAAACAGUCCAAAUUUCUUUCUGGACUGUCCCGUUCUCCUCUCCCCGCCCCCCCCCAUCCAUUUGGACCUGCCAAACCCGCUCCGGAGUGGGAUUUGGAACACCAAGAGAGUUUACACCUUGUGGCUGCAGCAGCUACCUCAGCACCGGAGGGACUGAUAACAGCAACCACCCCCAGGAGAGACUUUCUGAAUUUGUCAUCUUUUUCAGAGCGGUGUCAUCUGGUAUUGUUCAUUUUGUGUGCAGGGGGGUGCUGUGCUUGUCAAAUAAACAGGUUCUUUCCACUUCUCUCCGAGGAAUUCUUCCCGAGCUGGUUGGGGGGAGGGGCCGUGUGGGUUUGAAGAAGCCCCUUUGGGGGAUUCUCUCCCAAAUUUGCCCUAAACCAGGACAGUGCUUUUGAUUUUUUUUUUGUCAUUUUGUGUCGAUUGAGUUGAUCCUUCAGAGAAGCUUUCUUAAUAAUAUAAAAAAACAGGGAAUUGUUAAGACCCUAGGGAGGCAUUCCCUGGUCUAGGGAAACACAAGAAGCCUCCCUCAAAAAGCUGUCAGACCCCAUUGGCUCCUUCCCCUGUUCCUAUGUCUGUUCCUAUGUCCCUGAGCCACUCCCUCCCGAUUCCCUGAUUGGCCCUUAUCUUUGUGCUGCCCUGAGACCAGGGUCAGCUCCCGAGAAUGUGGGGAGGGAAAGCUGGACCCUGAAUGUGUGUGUGUCUGGGACCUGAUCAUCUCACCACGCAGCUGAAUUAAACAUCCGUGGAUAUUAUGCCAAGGUCCAUUUUGCUUCCUUACCCUGGACUAUGCUAGCAGCAGUUCAGCCUGCUACACCCUGUGGUAUGGACUAGUGUGGACAGUUUACCUCCACGUGGCCUUGUGUCCUGGUUUUGCAAGGGAGACAUUUGCGGAAGUGAUGCAAAGCUUUAAGCCACUAGAAAGCUGUUCAUGCCUCUGUGAAAACCCCAUGUUGAAGACUAAAGAAACUCGGGAAAUUUUUCUAUUCCUUCUGGCCUGGGAACAGGAAAAAGUCCCGGCCUGGCUUCUGUCUCAGCUGGGCCAAAUCAGAAAGGCUCUGCCUCAGAUUCGGGCCACUUUCCAGAGAGCCCACUGGACUCCAUCCUGGCUUGGCCAGGCCCCAGCAGCUGCCAGGCAGGGAGCUGGGAAGCUGUGGGGGCUCUGACUGAGACAGGGCUGGGCCGUGGCUGUUAAGAUCUUUCCGCCAGGUCCCCUCCCCAGUGCAGCCACCUCAUGAGAUCAUGCGGCUGAGACCAGAGGAAGCCCUGCAGCCUAUGCAGAGUGGCCCUUUGGCUGGAAUGGAACAGAGAAAAAGACCAGCCAUGCAGCCAAUCCUGACACAGCCCCAGCUGCAGCUCCUGCCACAAGCUAUCAGCCAGGGUCUGGUGACCAUCUGCUGGCCCUGGGUGAGAUGUUAACUUUUUCAGUGCUUCAAUCCUCCCUUGAGUGAGGGAAAGGAACAAAAUGCAAGCAUGUAAAGGAGCAACAUGAAGACAUCAAGGUAAGUGAAGAAGAAGUUAAGUGGCAGAUGGAUGGGAUGAGGAGUUGCCUUGAUCUUGGGGCUGAAAUCCCCUUGUAAAGCUAUGGAGAAAAGACUCUGUUUCCUUGUAACACAUGAAAGCAUGAGGAGAUGAAGGGUUCAAUUUGAUAUUGAGCAAAGGCCACCAUGCCAAAGUAAGCAGAUGGUAAGGUAGCUGUGAUUCUAUGAGAAGUUUGAACAGAGAAGGAGAGAAGAGUAAUCCUAUGCCUCCAGGAGGAGAAAAUCUCAGUUCCUAGAGAUGAAGAUGAUUUUAGAGAUAGAUAAUUAGAACAUUUACCUUUGAACAGCUCAUCUUUAAAACAGUACCGCCUAAGUUAACAUGGCCCAUAAACACAGCUGUGGGAAAAGCUUGUGAAAAAUAGGAGAAACUAUGUCCAGCAGAGCCAAUCCCUGAAGGCUCUCAUGAUAGACUAAACUGACAAAAAUCUUCCUGUCUCUGCACACAGUCAGUGAGAAUGAAGGAGGGGC